AUGGCUAAGUACUGGUGGGGGAGUUCGAUCAAUAAGAGAUCUCUCCAUUGGAUCUCUUGGGAUAAACUCUGUACACCGAAGAGCAAGGGCGGCAUGGGCUUUCGAGACCUACAACUUUUCAAUUUGGCAAUGCUUGGAAAGCAAGGCUGGCGUCUGAUUACCCAUCCGGACUCUCUCUGCUCAUGUGUUUUGAAAGGAAAAUACUUCCCUGCUACUGACUUCCUUCAUGCAACAGUUCCUGCUCGUGCAUCAUCUACUUGGCGAGCGAUUGUUGCUGGUAGGAAAGCACUGGAGGUUGGCUUAAUUCAUAGAGUGGGGGACGGGACCUCUAUUGCAACAUGGACAGAUAGCUGGAUCCCCAACACACUCUCGUUCAAACCAAUGGGGCGUCUCGGUAAUGCUCCUUUGGAUACAGUUUCAGAACUUAUUGAUGCAUACAUAGGUAAUUGGAAUGUUCAGAUUGUUCGUGUAAAUUUUCUUUAGCCAGAUGCAGAAGCUAUCCUAAAUAUCCCGCUGAAUCCGGCUGGGGGUGAUGACACAAUUGCAUGGGCUUUGGAAAAAACUGGUAUUUACACUGUAAAAUCGGCGUAUCGCUCUCUAAUAACUCAAAACGAGCUUAGCACUCUAGAGGAAGGGACGAUCACGGAAACUUCGACAAUGAAUAAACAGAUGUGGAAUACCCUUUGGAAGCUCCAUGUGGUACCUAAAGUGUGA
rnacentral:rRNA from 1 species